UGGGGAAUAUUGCACAAUGGAGGGAACUCUGAUGCAGCGACGCCGCGUGAGUGAUGAAGGAAUUCGUUUCGUAAAACUCUGUUCUAUGGGAAGAAAAGGACUGUACCAUAGGAGAAAGCUCCGGCUAAAUACGUGCCAGCAGCCGCGGUAAUACGUAUGGAGCGAGCGUUGUCCGGAAUUAUUGGGCGUAAAGGGUGCGCAGGCGGCUUUACAAGUUGGAUGUGAAAUAUUGUGGCUCAACCACAAACGUGCAUCCAAAACUGCAAAGCUUGAGUUAAGGAGAGGUAAGUGGAAUUCCUGGUGUAGCGGUGGAAAGCGUAGAUAUCAGGAGGAAUACCGGUGGCGAAGGCGACUUACUGGACUUAAACUGACGCUCAGGCGCGAAAGCGUGGGGAGCAAACAGG
rnacentral:rRNA from 1 species